UUGAACGCUGGCGGCAUGCCUUACACAUGCCAGUCGAACGGCAGCACGGGUGCUUGCCCCUGGUGGCGAGUGGCGAACGGGUGAGUAAUACAUCGGAACAUGUCCUGUAGUGGGGGAUAGCCCGGCGAAAGCCGGAUUAAUACCGCAUACGAUCUACGGAUGAAAGCGGGGGACCUUCGGGCCUCGCGCUAUAGGGUUGGCCGAUGGCUGAUUAGCUAGUUGGUGGGGUAAAGGCCUACCAAGGCGACGAUCAGUAGCUGGUCUGAGAGGACGACCAGCCACACUGGGACUGAGACACGGCCCAGACUCCUACGGGAGGCAGCAGUGGGGAAUUUUGGACAAUGGGCGAAAGCCUGAUCCAGCAAUGCCGCGUGUGUGAAGAAGGCCUUCGGGUUGUAAAGCACUUUUGUCCGGAAAGAAAUCCUUGGCCCUAAUACGGUCGGGGGAUGACGGUACCGGAAGAAUAAGCACCGGCUAACUACGU
rnacentral:rRNA from 1 species